AGAGUUUGAUCCUGGCUCAGGAUGAACGCUAGCGGCAGGCUUAACACAUGCAAGUCGAGGGGCAUCGGGAGGGAAGCUUGCUUUCCUUGCCGGCGACCGGCGCACGGGUGAGUAACACGUAUGCAACCUACCCUCUUCAGGGGGACAACCUUCCGAAAGGGAGGCUAAUCCCGCGUAUAUCGGUUUCGGGCAUCCGAGAUCGAGGAAAGAUUCAUCGGAAGAGGAUGGGCAUGCGGCGCAUUAGCUUGACGGCGGGGGUAACGGCCCACCGUGGCGACGAUGCGUAGGGGUUCUGAGAGGAAGGUCCCCCACACUGGUACUGAGACACGGACCAGACUCCUACGGGAGGCAGCAGUGAGGAAUAUUGGUCGAUGGGAGAGAUCCUGAACCAGCCAAGCCGCGUGAGGGAAGACGGCCCUAUGGGUUGUAAACCUCUUUUGUCGGAGAACAAAACCCGGGACGUGUCCCGGACUGCGUGUAUCCGAAGAAAAAGCAUCGGCUAACUCCGUG
rnacentral:rRNA from 1 species